UUAUUUCCCCUUUCUCCUUUGUGUUGCAGGUUAAUCUUAAAGGUAUUGGUGAAAUCUACAAAGUACGCAUUGGACAUUACAACAGUGGAAAGGAUCCCAGGUGGUAACUGGAAGAAAUUCAUCUUGAAAACAUGGACACACAGGAGCUGUUUUGUCUAACUGUUGACUCCUGGAUGGCUGAGAAUGAAAACGAUUGCAAUAGAUGGAAAGAAAUGCCCAUUAUGAGAAAUAAUAAAGCAUCUUUGCCAGGUUGAUAUUUUUUCCAGUGAGGCAGUGUCCCUUGGAAAAUUGAAGAAAGUACUGAUUAGUCAUGAUGGCACAGGUCCCAGUUUGUUGCUUCUGAAGA